rnacentral:lncRNA from 1 species
GAGAGUCGCGGGCAGGCAGCAGGCAUCCCUGCUUGGGUCUUUUAGGAUGAGCAGGAUGAUAUUGUCUCACAUUUGCUGAGUCUAGAAGGCAGGUCUCUCCAGUGGUUUUUGGAGCAAAUGUUUUGAUGGGCCAGCGUGGACACUGCCCAAACAUACAAGCAACUUGCCUAGUCUCCAGCUGGAAGCAAAUGCUACUCAUGAUGUGCUGUGGCACUAUGGUGGGCACAGGAAACUAAGGAUAACUAACAUUCAGGCCUUCACUUCAAGGAGCCAAUAUUUGCAAGAGUGAAGAGAAAUGGCCUUGAACCGUGUAGUCAUGUAACAAUUCCUGCUCCGGGACUCGGAAGAGGUGAACUUGGGUACAAUAUACCCUCAUGCCUUCUGGGUCCAGAGACCAGAUCUGAAGCAGAAACCCACUGGGUACACACUGGAAGCUGGCUGUGUGUAAAAGCUCCCAGAGAGACUCCAGUGAGGGAUCAUGCAGUUGCUGAAACAUUAUUGUUAUAAAUGAUACAGCAUGGAGCUAAAUAAAUGAGCUUUUGAAACACUGGAGCGAGCAGUAUUCCACACAUGUGUAUAUCCACACUUGCUUAUCCACUCAUCUGUGGGUGGAUAUUUAAGUUGCUUCCUCCUCUGGGCUAUUGUGAACAUGAACACUGUGAACAUCUGUGUGGGGUGAUGGCCUCAGCACCUGUUUUUAAUUCUUCAGGGGAAUGGCACCACCCACUGUUCUGGGUCUUCCUGAAUCAAUCGACAAUCAAAACAACCCCCAUGAAUGUGCCCUCAGGCCAACCUGAUCCAGAUAGUUCCUCAGUUGUAACUCUUCCUCAGGUACUCUAUGCAGUGUCAAGUUGCCAAUUAAAACUUACCCUGUUGGAUUUGAGGUGAUAUGACUAAUGACAAUGGACAUUGUUUCGUGUGCUUAUUUAGCUAUUUGUACAUUUUCUUUCAAAAAAUAUAUCUUUUCAGUAUCCUUCUCAAUUUAAAAAUGGAAUUGUCUCUCUUUUUGGCUUUUAAAUGUUAGAAAAUUUUAUACCUUGUGGCUAUUAAGACCUUUAACAGAAAUAUGAUUUGCAAGUGCUGUAUUCCAACUCAUCCUGCAUCUUUUCUCCUUGAUGCACAACAUGCUAAGAUCUGAAGAUGCAUGGUUUAUCCAGUGUUGGAUUAUUCAUAUUUCGGUGUCAUAUUUAAGAAUCCACUGCCCAGGAUAAGAUAAUGACCAUUUAUGUGUAUUUCUUCUACAUUCCCUUUAAGAUUUUAAUUCUUAUAUUUAAGUCAUUGAUCUAUUUUGCAUUAACUUCUAUAUACUGUUCACAAUAGUUCAAUUUCAUUUCUCUGUAUGGACCAGCCAGUUGUCCUAGCACCAUUUGCUGAAGAGAUUGUUUGGUUUCCAUUAAAUGUUCUCAGUACUCCUGUAUCAGUUGGCCCUGGGCGUGUGGGCUUGCUGUCAGUGUUGGGUCUGGAGGAACAUCCUGCAGCACCUGGAACAAUUGACCUCAUCUUCUUAGUGCACACCUGCUCCUCUCAGAUCCUGUCUUAGCAUCCUGCUGUGUACAGCUGCGACAACCCUGGGCCAGCCUAAAUCCUCUAAAACAUGUUAUUUUCAUUGAUUUCCUUCACCUCUACUUUGAUCACUGACUAGGGGUUCAGUUGUUGAAACUGUUGCAUUACCUGACCUUUGUCUUCAAGCACAGUGUUGUAUAUAUUGUAUUUCCAAUUCAGUGCAGAGAGAGCCCCCUUCCCUGGAGUAACUGAUGCGCAGAAUUACCCUCUAGAGCAUGUUACAAUGGAGAAUUUUAUUAAUCAGGGCUGGAACUGUGCUCAGUUUUAUAGAGAUUUAUAUCUCUAACCAUAUUAAGAAUCUUGCUUUCUUUAAAACAUGACCCUAACAAGGUGGGAUUUUGUUAUCAGCACAUGGCUUAAAGUCAGACUUCAAGCUUGUUUCCAGCCCCAGGUCCUGCCUUUCCUAGGCAAGGCUGAAAAAAAGUUCUAAUUAAUGCACCAGAGCAUUAAUCUUCUCAUACAUAAAGAGGUGAAGACAACAGAUCUCACUCCAAUCUCAUCCCCAGUGAUCUAAGGACUAGCGAGCACAAUGUACAUGUAUAUACACCUUAUAUGUAUUGAGGCUAGACAAUGCAAUUCCCCAACAGUGUAGCCAAGUCAAGGGAAAGAAAGAUGCCAGUCAAACUCAUUUCAACAUUUUUGAAUGCAUAUAUGCAUUCAAAACUCCAACACAUCUGUAAAUACCAAGACAAAAUAUAAUAAGUUCCUGCCUUUAUUAAGUCUGUUUCCUUUGUGGUUGUCACAAACUGUUUCAUGCCUAAAUACUCCACGUGCAUGUGUGCCAUUCCAGCAGUACAUACAUACAUAUAUGUUUUCAGAACAAUAAUUUUAUGGUCAAGGCUCUUUUGCUGGUUGGUUCCUGGUUUCCUGUAGUAACAUCUCCUUUUCAGCCAAUAGAAUUCAUUAUAGGGUGGGAACAUGGUAGUCUCUCAAGAGGUUUAUUUUAAGUCACCAGAAACAGAGGAGUGAAACAAGAGCCACAUGGAUGAGAUCUCUGGUGACAGACAGUUAGUGAACACCACAGUGUGAGCCCCUCCCCUAUGUUGUUAGGGCUCCAGUUGGUGGGAUAUUUUUGAUAGUUUAAGCCAUUGUUUCCACACUGGGCUAACGACUGUUUCUAAUAUUCCUCUUAACAAAUGCUGUCUUAUCAACUAGCAAUGGUCAAUUAAAAUGGCUACCCAAUGAGUCAUAAUAUAUGAAAGAAUAUUUUCUAAAAAGAAAAGAAAAACUGGACCAAAACACACGACUUGAAUGUGUGGGGGGGGGGGAGGUUUCAAAACACAACAAGGAAGGUCUCCUCGUGAUAGUUUUCCACCUUAAUAUACUGCAGAGGUCUGAACGAGAUGCCUACAACUUAGCCUAGGGAACUUGUUAAACAUAUUUUCAAAGCCCCGACUGCAAAGAUACUUCCAGAGGAGUUGUCUGUAAUAUGGAAGAAAGGAUGUCUUGAAACAUAUGGAAGGAAUGAAUUUAAACUGACUUCAUCUGAAAUGGGGAGUUAAAUCAACUCGGUGCCUUCAUCCAACGGAUUACCAAGCAGCCAUCAAAAAUGGUUUUAUGAAAAUGAUUUUAUUUAGAAAAAUGCUUCCAAGAAAUUACCAAGAGAGAAAGCAGCCUUCAAAUUGUCAGAUAAUAAAUAAAACUCUGUGU